CACAAAGAUAUGAAGGCCGGGUGCUGGCAACAGCGUUCUGCUGAAUUAUUUUUCGCCCAUGUCUUUUGCGCACUUUUUGUUUCCUGGGCGAGUUCGCUCGCCACCAGGACCCCCAUGUAAACCUUUUUGUUUAUGCAAUCAGCGUCAGUACAAUAAUGAAUUUAUUA
rnacentral:misc_RNA from 1 species